GCGGGCAGUUUGACUGGGGCGGUCGCCUCCUAAAAGGUAACGGAGGCGCUCAAAGGUUCCCUCAGAAUGGUUGGAAAUCAUUCAUAGAGUGUAAAGGCAUAAGGGAGCUUGACUGCGAGACCUACAAGUCGAGCAGGGUCGAAAGACGGACUUAGUGAUCCGGUGGUUCCGCAUGGAAGGGCCAUCGCUCAACGGAUAAAAGCUACCCCGGGGAUAACAGGCUUAUCUCCCCCAAGAGUUCACAUCGACGGGGAGGUUUGGCACCUCGAUGUCGGCUCAUCGCAUCCUGGGGCUGUAGUCGGUCCCAAGGGUUGGGCUGUUCGCCCAUUAAAGCGGUACGCGAGCUGGGUUCAGAACGUCGUGAGACCUGUC
rnacentral:rRNA from 1 species